rnacentral:tRNA from 1 species
GCCGAGGUAGUGUAGAGGUUGCACAGAGGACUGUGGAUCCUUCAGACUGGGUUCAAUUCCCAGCCUCGGCC